GUGUCAGCAGCCGCGGUAAUACGAAGGGGGCUAGCGUUGUUCGGAAUCACUGGGCGUAAAGCGCACGUAGGCGGAUCGUUAAGUCGGGGGUGAAAUCCCGAGGCUCAACCUCGGAACUGCCUUCGAUACUGGCGAUCUUUGAGUCCGGGAGAGGUGAGUGGAACUCCGAGUGUAGAGGUGAAAUUCGUAGAUAUUCGGAAGAACACCAGUGGCGAAGGCGGCUCACUGGCCCGGUACUGACGCUGAGGUGCGAAAGCGUGGGGAGCAAACAGGAUUAGAAACCCGCGUAGUCC
rnacentral:rRNA from 1 species